UACGAAGGGGGCUAGCGUUGUUCGGAAUUACUGGGCGUAAAGCGCACGUAGGCGGAUAUUUAAGUCGGGGGUGAAAUCCCGGGGCUCAACCCCGGAACUGCCUUCGAUACUGGGUAUCUUGAGUUCGGAAGAGGUGAGUGGGAUUGCGAGUGUAGAGGUGAAAUUCGUAGAUAUUCGCAGGAACACCAGUGGCGAAGGCGGCUCACUGGUCCGAUACUGACGCUGAGGUGCGAAAGCGUGGGGAGCAAACAGG
rnacentral:rRNA from 1 species